rnacentral:rRNA from 1 species
AUUGAACGCUGGCGGCAGGCUUAACACAUGCAAGUCGAGCGGGGUGAUGGUGCUUGCACUAUCACUUAGCGGCGGACGGGUGAGUAAUGCUUAGGAAUCUGCCCAUUAGUGGGGGACAACAUCUCGAAAGGGAUGCUAAUACCGCAUACGUCCUACGGGAGAAAGCAGGGGAUCACUUGUGACCUUGCGCUAAUAGAUGAGCCUAAGUCGGAUUAGCUAGUUGGUGGGGUAAAGGCCUACCAAGGCGACGAUCUGUAGCGGGGCUGGGCGGAUGAUCCGCCACACUGGGACUGAGACACGGCCCAGACUCCUACGGGAGGGAGCAGUGGGGAAUAUUGGGCAAUGGGGGGAACCCUGAUCCAGCCAUGCCGCGUGUGUGAAGAAGGCCUUAUGGUUGUAAAGCACUUUAAGCGAGGAGGAGGCUCUUUUGGUUAAUACCCAAGAUGAGUGGACGUUACUCGCAGAAUAAGCACCGGCUAACUCUGUGCCAGCCGCCGCGGUAA